AUGUACCUCAGGUGGUGGUGCAGCCCUACUGAUGAGGACAUCCCAGGUUCACCUCGUUUAUCAUCUUCUCCUGAUGAUAAGUCUCAGCCAUCAAGUGAAGCUUCUACAAAGAAGAUCUAUUUGGGUCCCAUGACAAGGAGCCGUGCCAAACAAAUAGCACAAGAGGUGAACGCGCUCCUAGCUUAUCAUAAUUUAAAUGACCAUGAGAACUUUAUACUGCCUAAAUCUCGUGUGCUGAUUUUACUUAGGUACAAUGUCGAGACAACCAACAACAUUCAGCACAUGAAGAACCAAGUUUUGGAGCCCAUUCAACAAGUUUAA
rnacentral:rRNA from 1 species